CGCAUCUGUGCAUGCAGCAUAUCAAUAAGCGGAGGAAAAGAAACUAACAAGGAUUCCCCUAGUAACGGCGAGUGAAGCGGGAAGAGCUCAAAUUUGAAAUCUUAAAGGGUUUCCCUUUACGAAUUGUAGUUUAAAGAAGUGUUUUCUGUUGAGGUUUUGGUAAAAGUUCUUUGGAAUAGGACAUCAUAGAGGGUGAGAAUCCCUGUAUUUGACCUUUACUUUCAACUUUGUGAUACACUUUCAAAGAGUCGGAUUGUUUGGGAAUGCAGUCCAAAAUGGGUGGUAAAUUUCAUCUAAAGCUAAAUAUUGGCGAGAGACCGAUAGCGAACAAGUACCGUGAGGGAAAGAUGAAAAGAACUUUGAAAAGAGAGUUAAACAGUACGUGAAAUUGUCAAAAGGGAAGCGUUUGACACCAGUGUUGUUUUUCUGAAAAUCAAUUAAAGAACUGUUUAUGCUAAGUUGUUUAGACUUUAUCAGCUAACUGUUUAGUUUUGAGCUUUUCUUUAAUGCACUUUUCAGUUAACAAGUCAACAUCAAUUUCUUUUGCUGUAAAAAAGCUUGAGGAAGGUGGCUUGAGAUUCGUCUUAAGUGUUUAUAGCCUCUUGCCUAUGCAGUCGGAGAGAUUGAGGUCUGCAGCGUAGAUCCUUCGGGGCUAAAUGCAUUUGUGCUAAGUUAUAACAUUUUAUAGACAACUUGUUGACUAUGAUUUGUCUUGUAGCUUACUCGCUUAUGUUAUUUUACCUACGCUUAGGAUGUUGACAGCAGUAUAGACUGU
rnacentral:rRNA from 1 species